rnacentral:rRNA from 1 species
GGGGGAAUAUUGCACAAUGGAGGGAACUCUGAUGCAGCGACGCCGCGUGAACGAAGAAGGCUUUCGAGUCGUAAAGUUCUUUUAUAUGGGAAGAUAAUGACGGUACCAUAAGAAAAAGCCCCGGCUAACUACGUGCCAGCAGCCGCGGUAAUACGUAGGGGGCUAGCGUUGUCCGGAAUCACUGGGCGUAAAGGGUUCGCAGGCGGAAAUGCAAGUCAGGGGGAAAAGGCAGUAGCUUAACUACUGUAAGCAUUUGAAACUGCAUAUCUUGAGAAGAGUAGAGGUAUGUGGAAUUUUUGGUGUGGCGGUGAAAUGCGUUGAUAUUAAAAAGAAUACCGGUGGCGAAGGCGCAUUACUGGGCUCAUUCUGACGCUGAGGAACGAAAGCGUGGGUAGCAAACAGG